CAACCAACUCGUGAUGGUGUCCGUAAAAUUUACGAAGGGAUAAUUUCAACCUCACAAUUUUGAACUCUUGGUUUAAUAGCUUCCUUGUGAGCAGCGAUCAUCUAUCACGGAAAUCAUGAUAGGAAAUACAAGUCCGGGAGUAUCGUAUCAAUUGGGAGAUAUAUACCUCAUACGCAGGCGCUGUUAGAAUGUUGCUACAUAGAAAUGGAAAGUUUACAAUUGGGAAGCUGAAAUCAUCCCUUUUGUCGCAAAGUCUGGUUUUCAACCGACCCUCAUUGUCAAUUUUUAGAUGAAAGUCAAGAUAUGAGGCAGACUUAACUGUAUCUGUAGUAUCAUUUAUCUCUAGUUCGAUUGGAUAGAUUCGUUCAGCAUAGUCACCAAAUUUUGUAUUAUUAAACGAGAGAAUAUUAUCUAUAUAGCGGAACGUAAAGUUAAAGGAUGUUGCUUACUUUUUAUCUUUCUUCCUUAGAAAUUCCUGAAUAAUGUCAGCCACAUAAUAAUAGAGAAACAAAUCGGGAAGAAGAGGGGCACAUUGGCUCACAUUGGAAUUCCGACAGUCUGUUGAAAUACACGUUCUAUAAACGUAACAAAUAUGUUGUCAGGGUACUUUUCUAUCCC
rnacentral:lncRNA from 1 species